GUGUGCUCUCACCUAUCAGUUAUCUUGUUUUAAGAAAUUUGUGUUCAUUCUGAGCAGCUGUUCAAAUUAAACAUCAACAGGAACAAUGCCACAUGUUGCCCUGUACAGCACUCCACCACUGGACUAUAGAGCUGUGGGAAGGUGCUCUCUGGAGUGCUGAAUCAGGUGUCACUAUGGUGGAUUCCAUGGGCUACUAGCAUUCACAGUGCUUACUGUAAAUGUUUGAAAGGAAAAUGAGUUUGGGCUAGACCGGGCAGUUCCCAUGAAGAGCCAUCUUAAUGCUACAGGAUAUAAGAACAUUUUAGACUAUUUGUGCUUCCAACAUUGGAGAAGCCACUCCUGUUCCAGCAUGACUGUGCCCAAAGCCAGGUCCUUGAAGGUAUAUCUUAAUGUGCAGGAAGUCUAGUGGC